rnacentral:rRNA from 1 species
GAUGAACGCUAGCGACAGGCCUAAUACAUGCAAGUCGAGCGGAUGCCUUCGGGCAUUAGCGGCGCACGGGUGCGUAACGCGUAAGCAACCUACCCACUACUGGGGGAUAGCCCGCCGAAAGGUGGAUUAAACCCGCAUGACGCAGGGGCACGGCAUCGUGCUAUUUGCUAAAAAUUUAUUGGUAGUGGAUGGGCUUGCGUCUGAUUAGCUAGUUGGUGGGGUAACGGCUCACCAAGGCGAUGAUCAGUAGGGGCUCGGAGAGGAGCGGCCCCCACACUGGCACUGAGAUACGGGCCAGACUCCUACGGGAGGCAGCAGUAGGGAAUAUUGGGCAAUGGAGGCAACUCUGACCCAGCCAUGCCGCGUGUAGGAAGAAGGCGUUCUGCGUUGUAAACUACUUUUAUCGGGGAAGAAACGUCAUCUUGCGAGGUGAUUUGACGGUACUCGAGGAAUAAGCACCGGCUAACUCCGUGCCAGCAGCCGCAGUAAAAC